rnacentral:rRNA from 2 species
AAAUUGAAGAGUUUGAUCAUGGCUCAGAUUGAACGCUGGCGGCAGGCCUAACACAUGCAAGUCGAACGGUAGCACAGAGGAGCUUGCUCCUUGGGUGACGAGUGGCGGACGGGUGAGUAAUGUCUGGGAAACUGCCCGAUGGAGGGGGAUAACUACUGGAAACGGUAGCUAAUACCGCAUAACGUCGCAAGACCAAAGAGGGGGACCUUCGGGCCUCUUGCCAUCGGAUGUGCCCAGAUGGGAUUAGCUAGUAGGUGGGGUAACGGCUCACCUAGGCGACGAUCCCUAGCUGGUCUGAGAGGAUGACCAGCCACACUGGAACUGAGACACGGUCCAGACUCCUACGGGAGGCAGCAGUGGGGAAUAUUGCACAAUGGGCGCAAGCCUGAUGCAGCCAUGCCGCGUGUAUGA